ACUCAAAGGAAUAGACGGGGACCCGCACAAGCAGCGGAGCGUGUGGUUUAAUUCGAGGCUACGCGAAGAACCUUACCAGGGAUUGACAUGCCGGUAGUAGUGAAGCGAAAGCGGAACGACCCUUCGGGGAGCCGGCACAGGUGAUGCAUGGCUGUCGUCAGCUCGUGCCGUGAGGUGUUUGGUUAAGUCCACUAACGAGCGCAACCCUUAGCGCCAGUUACAAGUGUCUGGCGCGACUGCCGGUCUUAAGCCGGAGGAAGGUGGGGACGACGUCAAGUCAGCAUGUCCUUUAUAUCCUGGGCUACACACACGCUACAAUGGCCAGUACAAUGGGUCGCCAAGCCGUGAGGCGGAGCCAAUCCUGAAAAGCUGGCCCCAGUUCGGAUCGCAGGCUGCAACUCGCCUGCGUGAAGUCGGAGUUGCUAGUAACCGCAGGACAGCUAUACUGCGGUGAAUACGUUCCCGGGUCUUGUACACACCGCCCGU
rnacentral:rRNA from 1 species